GACAGGGGUGCCAAGCGUUAGGCGGAAUCACUGGGCUUAAAGCGUGUGUAGGCGGAUCGUUAAGUACCUUGUGAAAUCCCACGGCUCAACCGUGGAACUGCUGGGUAUACUGGCGAUCUUGAGCCACCUAGGGGCGAGCGGAACAAACGGUGGAGCGGUGAAAUGCGUAGAUAUCGUUUGGAACGCCAACGGUGAAAACAGCUCGCUGGGGGUGUGCUGACGCUGAGACACGAAAGCGUGGGGAGCGAACAGG
rnacentral:rRNA from 1 species